GAGAAAGGGUGUGGUUGUCCGGGAGGCCCCUGCUGGAGGUCUCCCUGCCCCAGAGAUAGGUGUCUCGAAUAUCAGGAUGGGAGUGUGAGGACCCCGAGAACAUCAGGGCAUGGGCACAGGCAGGGGGCCCUGAGAACAUUGGGGCAUGGAUUGCAAUAGGAAGUUAGGACUGGGGCUGUAUUGUUUACGGGUGUGUCCCUAAUGCCCGUGGGACAGGGUAUACAGCAGGUACCCAAUACAUGCAUAGAUGGCUGAGGAGAGGGAUGGCUGUCUCUCACUCUAGGAUGGAGGCUCUGCCUCCUUUGUUCUAGGGCAUUCUCCUUCCUGUGCCCUGAGGCCCACAAGAAUGGGUAUACAGUAGGUACCCCAUAAAUGCUUGGAUGGCUGAGGGAAGGGAUGGCUGUGUCUCACUCUAGGACAGUGGCUCUGGUUCCCUUGUUCCAUGGCAUUCCCCUGCUCCUGUCCCCAGCCCUAAGUUUGGAAGAAGGAACCCCCUCCCUACCACCCUAAAAACACCACCCCAUGACUGGAAAGGAAGUAGAAUGGCUGGAUGUUCACUUACCAAGGCCGAUCCGGGGAGGAUGGGGCAGACAUGGUGGGGCCAGAGGUGUGGGGGACAGAGAGACAAUGUCAUGGGAGAGGUCAGAGGUCAGAGUUCCCUCAACCCCCAGGGUCCUGGUUAACACUGCCCCGUGAGAAUCAUUCCGUGGGGGGAGAGAUCAGAGACGGGAGGGGGGCGGGGGCGAAGAGGACCUGCCCUCCCCACCCAGCUCCCACCCAGCCUGCCUGCCUGGGCUCUGGGUUUCUGCCAUCUUUGGCCAGAACAUUCUCCCCAAACUAGGAGAUGCCUAAAAAUAGACCUAAGCAGGGAAGAAGCGGGAUUCGGGGGGGCUGGAGCGGGAGGACACAUUAACCAGAAAUGAGGAGCAGAGAGCCUGGGGGAGGCUGGAAGCUGGGUACGCAGGGAGAGACAGAGACUAAGAGACAGUGAGAUACCAAGAUAGGGAGAGCCACGUGAUAGACUGGGGAGAGAUGAGAAAGAGACCAAGAGACCAUGAGGGAGUCAAGAGUCACCCCGCCACCCCCCUGCAGUGACCAAGCUGGCCCUGGCAGAGGGAGGGGUGUCUCUGGAGAGCUCCCAGCUGGAGGCAGGGUUUCUCUAUGUUGCCCAAGCUGGUCUUGAACUCCCGACCUCAAGUGAUCUGCCCGCCCCGGCCUCCCAAAGUGCUGGGAUCACAAGCGUGAGCCACCGCACCUGGCCCUUCCUCUGAGGCCUUCGUCUCCAAGAAUCCAGCAAAGUGACAAUAAUGAAAAUAAUGUCACUAAAGGGCCAGCACCACAGAAGAAAUCUCACUGGAACACCUGACUUCAAGUGUGACCUUGAAUCUCACUGAGCUCUCAAAUGUAACUGCCAGUUCCCCAAAAUGUGAGGAACUGAGAAACAGGGUGAAGAGCAGUGGCAUGAUCUUGGCUCAUUGCAACCUCCACCUCCUGGGCUCAGGCAAUCCACCUCAGCCACUUCCAUAGCUGGGACUACCAGCAUGUGCCACCAUGCUCAGGCUGGAGUGCAAUGGCACAAUCUCGGCUCACUGCGACCUCCAUCUCCCAGGUUCAAGCGAUACUCCUGCCUCAGCCUCCCAAGUAGCUUGGAUUACCGGUGCCCACCACCACGUCGAGCUAAUGUUUGUAUUUUUGGGACAGACAGGGUUUUACCAUGUUGUCCAGGCUGGUCUCGAUCUCCUGACCUCAGGUGAUCCACCUGCCUCGGCCUCCCAAAGUGCUGGGAUUACAGGUAUGAACCACAUGUGCCCAGCCCAAAAGCUACAAUUUUAUCCUCAACAGUCUGGUUCCCAAGUCUAUGCUCUUAAAAAGGUAACCCCCAUUCUCUCCCCUAAAAAGUCUCAACAGAGGGAGGAGUUGUCAACAAAUAUAUAGCAGAUCUUGCCCUAGAGUCUCCUGAAACAAAAGGUAGACUGAGUGUAAAUAAAGCUCUAGCCCAGUCCAGCCUAGCUCAAUUCCUGAUUGGACUGAGGUGAUCAGCCUGUUAUCCUAUCUGCCUAAGAGAGGGAAAGGACACUUCUCACUGGGCAAAGAUGACAUUGCUUCAUCCCUAUGGUUCUUUUUUAUACAAUGUCCAGAAUAUAAUAAAAAACUACAAGGCAAGGGAUGAGGCAGGAAAAUGUGGUGGAUAAGAGAGAAAAAGAGACAACAGAAGCAGACACAUGGAUGAUCAAAUCUGGAAGUCAGCAAACAGAAACUUUUAAAGUUAGAAGAAAAGAUGAGCAAAAAUGAGACAAAAGAUGGAGAAUUUCAACAGGGAAUUGGGAUCUACAAAAAAAUCACAUGGAUAUUUUACACUGGAAAAAAAUAUAUAAUAUCUGAAUUUUUUUUUUUUUUUUUUUUGAGACGGAGUCUCGCUCUGUCGCCCAGGCUGGAGUGCAGUGGUGCGAUCUCAGCUCACUGCAAGCUCCGCCUCCCGUGUUCAUGCCAUUCUCCUGCCUCAGCCUCCCGAGUAGCUGGGACUACAGGCACCCACCACCAUGCCCAGCUAAUUUUUUGUAUUUUUAGUAGAGACGGGGUUUCACCAUGUUAGCCAGGAUGGUCUCGAUCUCCUGACCUCGUGAUCUGCCUGCCUCAGCCUCCUGCAGUGCUGGGAUUACAGGCAUGAGCCACUGCGCCCGGCCUAAUAUCUGAAAUUAAGAACUCAACGGAUGGGGUCAACAGGACACUGGGCACAACAGAAGACAUAAGUGGUGAACUCAUAGACAAGUGAACAAAAAACUUCCCAGUUGGAUUACAGAGAGGAAAGAAUGGAAAAAACAGAACAGGACAUAACAGAUGUGAUCAAAAGGCCUAAUAUAUGUGUAAUUGGAGUCCCAGGAGUGAAGAGUGAAAAUGAGGCAGAAAAAAAUUCAAGUGAGAAUGGCUAAGAAUUUCCCCAAACUGAUGAAAGGCAUCCACCCACAAAUCCCAAUUUUGUACUUCCAACCACUGUUAUACCACCCCCCUCAACAAUGCCUAUAAAUGUUUGUUGAAAAUGAGUGAAUGAAUGUACUCCAAUCAUUUUCUCACUUGGAUGUUCCCUACUUUUUGCUCUUCUUAGAAAAUAAUAAAUGGUACAAUAAUAUCUCCCAUCUAUUGUAGGCUGACAAUAUCUCAGUACUACAGCCCCCCACAUUUUCACAUAACCUUAUGAAGUAGUUGGUGUUGUUACUGUCUCCAUUACAGGGGAGAAACCUGAGGCUCAGAGAUGUUAUGACUUAAGUAGUCUGUCCUAGCACUUUAACCUGCUCUGCUAAUCCUAAUGUCUAUACUCAUACCAGUGACUGUGUUCUCCCACCUUUACUAUCCUGUGCCUUCUGUGACCAAG
rnacentral:lncRNA from 1 species